AAACCAUGACUAGGGCACUUCCUAAGAAACUCUUUGAACCAUUCCCAUGUUUCAUGAAAGUUUUUAGAUUCAUCUUGUUGGAUGGUCGAUAUUUCAUGCUUGAGUUU